rnacentral:rRNA from 1 species
AUUGAACGCUGGCGGCAGGCCUAACACAUGCAAGUCGAACGAGUGGCGGACGGGUGAGUAAUGUCUGGGAAACUGCCUGAUGGCGGGGGAUAACUCCUGGAAAAGGUAGCUAAUACCGCAUACCAUCGGAUGUGCCCAGAUGGGAUUAGCUAGUAGGUGGGGUAACGGCUCACCUAGGCGACGAUCCAUAGCUGGUCUGAGAGGAUGACCAGCAACACGGGAAGUGAGACACGGUCCAGACUCCUACGGGAGGCAGCAGUGGGGAAGAUUGCACAAUGGGCGCAAGCCUGAUGCAGCCAUGCCGCGUGUAUGAAGAAGGCCUUCGGGUUGUAAAGUACUUUCAGCGGGGAGGCGUUACCCGCAGAAGAAGCACCGGCUAACUCCGUGCCAGCAGCCGCGGUAAUUC